CCACAGUGGAAGCAGGGAACGGUAUC
rnacentral:miRNA from 1 species